rnacentral:lncRNA from 1 species
UUCAACAUCCUGAUUGUUACAGGUCAACAUACAACAAAUAUCGGUUAUAAAAAGAUGAUCGUAAAAAUUUGGCGAAGGGCACGUGGCCAUGGGUCUUUUAACUUUCAUGCGGUCUUAUAUGUGCUUUACUAUUUGCUUUUUUAGUUUUCCUUUUCUUUAAUCUCUUUCUAAUUGGGCAAGAAUUAGUUUCAUCCUCAACAUUAUGAUCUUUCAGGAAGAGAGAGGCAAUAGUUAAAGGUCAGAUAUUUAGCAAGGCAAUAUUUCUUGUAAAAUUGAUAAACCCUAAAAUCACACACUAAAGUUAGUAACUAACCGCUCCUUUCCCUCCAUGUGCAUGGUGAGAACAAAUAACAGCAUCAAAAGCCCCUGCUGCAAAAGCCGCGUCCCUGACUGCACUUAAUUCAGCUUCAGAAUCAGUUGAAAAUUUGUUGAUAGCCACAACAACAUUAACACCAUAAGCCUUUGUAUUUAAGAUAUGCCUGGCCAGAUUAAUGCAACCAGCUUCAACAAGAGCCACAUUCUCAGUCACAUAGGCAUGGUCAAGAGGCUUGCCAGCCACAACCUGAGGCCCUCCACCGUGCAUUUUGAGGGCCCUAAUGGUUGCUACAAUAACAGCACACUGAGGAGUUAAACCGCUAUAUCGACACUUAAUAUUCAUAAACUUCUCUGUACCAAUAUCAGCCCCAAAGCCUGCUUCAGUAACCACAAAGCCACCAGGUCCCACCAGCUUCAAUGCUAUUUUAUCUGCAACAAUUGAUGAGUUCCCAUGAGCAAUAUUUGCAAAAGGACCAGCAUGAACAAGAACAGGGGUGCCCUCGAGAGUCUGCAUCAAUGUAGGAUUUAUGGCAUCUUUCAUCAACACAGUCAGAGCACCUCCAAUUCCAAGAUCAUCAGCUGUAAUGGGAUCACCAGCCUUGCUAUUUCCAAUUACCAUUUUCCCGAGCCUCUCUCUCAUGUCAGAUAGCGAAGUUGUGAGAGCCAACACUGCCAUUAUUUCACUAGCAACUGAAAUAUCAAAUCCCGUUUCUCUUACCAUCCCCUUUUCUUCAGGACCCUGGCCAAUAGUAAUUUUCCUCAAGAAUCGGUCAUUAACAUCCAUUACUCUUCUCCAUGUGAUGGAUUCGGGAUCUAUAUCGAGCCUGGCAAAUUUCUUAACUUCCUCUGGUGUAAGCUCUUCUGGGUUGGUCUUGGAGAUGCCAAGUUUCUUCAACCGGCUAAACAUUAUGUUGUUGAAACUCCUUUUACCUUCUUUGUUCGGUGGGCAUAACCGGUUGAAAAGAGCCUUAUCAGAUUGUGUGGAUUCAUGGAAGAUUCUAGUAUCAAUGGCUGCAGCCAGAAGGUUAUUUGCAGCUGUUAUUGCAUGGAUAUCCCCUGUCAAGUGAAGAUUGAAUCCAUUGGAAUCACUUGGCUAUAGCCUCCACCUGCAGCACCACCUUUGAUUCCAAAUGUUGGUCCUUGUGAUGGUUGGCGAAGGCAUGUGACCACCUACAAGAACCAGACAGGAGGGAGGUGAAAAAGAACCUCUCCUUAGAACAAUGUAAGAAAGAAAGAUAUGUUAAAAUAUUCCACGUUUACAAUUGGUCAGGCUAGAAAUUUAUUUCACAUUUAAGCCAGAUAACUCUAUCUUUGACACCAUCAAAUAAAUUUACUAUAAAUAAUAAUGCUGAAGGAGAAUGUUACCACUAACGCAUUCUAGAAUGAAGAAGUUUCCGAUUGUUAGAUGCCCUAUAACUGGCUCCAGGGAUGCGUCAAAAUUCAAUUCCCAAUCAUUGGAUUCUAACGUAUAAUUUUUGUCUGUGUGUAAAAUGCACUUCAUUAGUGUGGUAAGAUCCAUGCUUUCAAAGUUUAACAGUUGUUUCUUCAUGCUUAAUAGGAUUUUAACUCUGUUCUGCUCCCAAUUGUAUUGUAAAUUAUACCCACAAUCCACAUAUCAAGCAACAUCAAUAUUUACCUAAUUACUUUUUCCUCGUACUCUUCUUCUGGCUUUGAUCUCACUUCUAUAUUACUUGAAAGUCGAAACAGGUGUGCAGCAGAUAUAGAAACUGAUGCAUGAAAUAUCAACAUAAAAGACAAAUACAAGUGAAGUGACCCAAAUAUUACCUUUUUAUCAAGAAAAGCUCCCAAUGCUUGACAAAGACCAACAGUAGUAGUGGACUUGCCUUCUCCUAGAGGUGUUGGAGUAAUCCCUCCAACCACCACAUAAUACCCAUCUCCUCUACCUUGCAGUUCAUCAAUCACUGACAAUAAUACCUGCAAUGCUUACAUAAUUGAUGACCAUUAUUGAGGGGGUGGAAAAAGAGAGUUUAGUAGUGGAUUUUUUGAGAAUGCGUGGUUAAAAAAUAAUAAUAAUAAUAAUAAUAAAUAAAUAAAAAUUGAGUUUUACAUGCAAGAUGUUUUAUGGUGAGAAUGUGGAUGAAAAUGAUUUUGAGAAAAAAUGAGUUUUGAAAUAAUGGAAUCAAACAGGGGCUAAAAUUAAUCACCCAGUUCCCAUAGUGCAUACUCAUAAGCAUUUAUAUAGAUCAUCGCCUCGAUAUUAUAAAGGCAAUUGAAACUGAUUUACGAAGAAAACCCCAUUUAUAAACAGAAGUAAAUAAUCACCAUUCAUUAACGGAUUCCCUAUACGCAUCUUUAUUAAGCACAUCUACACAAGAACGCAGAAAAAAUUAAUACCUUGGCUUUGUACUUGCCAUAGAGAUCGUAGUGGUGAGGACUAAGAUUGAGUUCCUGGGCAAUCUCGGAGAUGUGAAGUGGUUCAACUGAAUUAGCUAUAUCUAUAUCUGCCGGCACAGGCGAUGCCACUUGCAGUUUCCUCACUGUCUUGCUCAUUAUUCUCUUGUUUCAAUGCAAAAUCUUGGAUUUCCCUCUUGUGGGCUGUCUUAAGAUAACGAUUUUAGACCUGAAUAUGUUCAAGAUCUCACAGUAUCUAUGUAUCGAUUAAUUGGUUGAAGGGUGUGAUGAAGAGUAACUGUGACGAAUCAUUGGAGUGGGUGGUGGCGGUCUUAUCUUUGACUAAGAUAAUCAUGAUGCGUUGGAAUGUGUGAAUAUUGUGGCUGGCAAAUGUUAAUGCAACACGUGAAAUGAUUAAAAAAAAAAAAAGUAAGGAAAAGAAAAAUAUAUAGCAGAUAUUGGAGAUGCGGGGUAUCGAUCCCCGUACCUCUCGCAUGCUAAGCGAGCGCUCUACCAUCUGAGCUACAUCCCCUUUGAUAACUGCGGUGUUCACCCUUAAAUAUAUCAAAUAAUACAGAUCGCUUUUGGGACACACAUCUUCAUCUCUAACCCAAAAUAAUAUGGUUGAUUCCACUAAUAAUAUAAAUUGAUCCCCAGUUUGGUAGAAAUUAAAAUUAGACUUUUAAUAAGUUUGGUAGAUUUGAUGAAAUUUAUAAUUAAAAUUAAUUGUUGACUUUGACUUGAAUUAAAUUUUGAUUUUAAUUUUUACCAAAUAAGGGUUAAAUAAUAACAUGGUUGUUCCUCCUACUGUCCUAUUCAUAAAUUUGACAUACUUAUUUGAUAAAUAAUCGUGACUUCUAAUUUAAAUCAAUUCAAUGCUCAAUAUGUAUUUCAUUAAGAUUAUAAAAGAGUUUGUUAUAAUCACCUGAAAUCCAAAAGAUGUUGAGCGUUGCAUUGAUUUAAAUUAAAGGUCAUGACUAUUUAUCAAAUAAAUUUAUCAAAUUUAUGAGUAGGACGAAACGGUUCCGAAAAUAAUAAUAUUUGUCAUUAGUCUAUAUGGUGAUUAGGUCACAUCAUUAGAAGAAGUUAAAGAUACAUUUUUAUUUAUUGAACAAAAUAUUACAAUUGUCACAGUAUCACACAAAUUGGUGAUGACUCUACGUGGUGAUAAAUAGCAAUAUUAAUCAAAGUAGUCCACUUUCUUCUUCCGUUUGUUACAAAUUACUACAAAUUUACUAAUGCCAUGUUUGAAUUUUUAGGAAUUCAUUUUCUGCACUUGUAUUGCAUGUCUUAUGUAUUCAAAUAAAAACUACCAGUCAUUCCUUAUCGGCAACAUCAUAAAUUAGAGGGAAAUCCAAAUAUAAUUAUGAGAUUUGGGAUUAUCUUUUUAUUUUUAUUUUUCUUAAAUUAAAAAAAAAAAGGUAAACAUGUAAGCGAGAUGGAUUGAUUCGAUUAAUCAAUGGCUUGAGACUUCAAAUUAUUUCACCAUGAUUUUGUUUAAAAGAAAAAUCAAAUCAAACUAAUUACAUGUGUCAAAUUGACCCGAACAAACCCGAGUCAGUUCGGUUGGAUUCAUUUGAUCAAAUUUUCGAUUUUUUGCCCAAAACUAAAAGCAAGCACACAUCACUAUUAAAACUAGGCGAAAUGUGUUUUUCACGCACAAUUCAUUUAAUAGAACUUUUGAUUUUGCUUCUACUUUUUGUAGAAAGAUUUUUUGAAGAAGUCAUCAUCUUCAUUUGAAAACUCUUAUAAUCAAAUAAAGUGCUUCUAGAUCUUUUACAUUUUAGAAAUAGUUUAAAAUUUUUUAAACACGUUAUCAGACGGACCCGAGUUUUGCUGGGGUGCCAAAGGAGGAUUUCACAGAACCCCUGCCGACUACUCAUAACAGAGAAAUGUGUGGGUAUUUUUUCGAUAAUUUCUUAUACAGGUGAAUCCCGCAUAAAAUCCACCUGGUGUGAGUAGUCGGUAGAGAUAACCCCCUACCUUGGUAAUCCAGCAAAACUCGACGGACCCUUAUGCUCAUUCAAGAAAUGAUUAUUUGCUUUGACCAUUCAUCCCCAAUCAUUGAUAAUGAAAGUACAACUAAGUUUUUUUGAAUAGGAUGCGUUCAUGCAAACGUUAAGCCCUAUUUGAUUUGGAUAAAAAAUAGAUAUUGAUGAAAAUUGAAAUGUGGUCAAAAAAUUAUGAAUUUCAUGAAUUAUGUGAUUAAAAAUAAUUUCGAGAAAAUUUUGAAUUGAAAGUAAUGGAGGUCAAAUGGGGGCUAAAAUUAAUUUUCGCUUCAUUAAAGAAAAAAGUGUUAAAUUUGUCUGUUUAAGCAGCAUUCUUUAAAAAAAUAUACAUUCUUAAAACUCAAUAAAAUAAUAUUACACAAAUUAAAAAAAUUAUUUUUUAAUCACACAUUCUCUAUCAAUUUAUUAUUUCAAAAUACAUUCUUUUAAAAUAAUGUUGCUCAAACACACUUAAAAGUUGAAAUCAGCACUUGGUUCUUGUAGUGGGCUUCUACCCGGCCUAUAUACAAAUAUUUUCGACACGCUAGAUAGCCCACGAACACUAAAUUCGGAGAAAAUUGAAAGAGAAAUGCUCAAGGUACAUAAUUUUUGAUACAAAUGAGUGUUCACCCCUCACAUAAGUGGGCCCCGCUCGAAUAGACAUUAUGUAUAAAAAAUUGAAUAAUUCUAUAUGUAUAUUAUGAUAUUCAUAAGAGUGUAACAUACAUAUGAAAUUAAAUAAUUGGAAGGUUGAAAAAACUAUUUUUCAUCUUUUCAAUAAUGUUAUACUAUUUGUAUAUUAUGAACACCUUUAUAAACACUGUAUAUGUAGCAUAACCCUAACAAGUUAUGCACAAGUGUCUUUGUCCAAACUGAAAACUGGUGAAAUGAGACCGUUACAUUACAAAUCCCAUUUCUAACAAAAUUACAAUUCACUCCCUCACCUGUCAACAAUUUCUCCCUCUCUCCGUUCCCCUCGCUGCCAUCGAUUCCCUUCUUCCGGCUGCAAGUAAGAACUUGUAUUUGGGUGAUUUCGUUUUCAUAUUUUUCUUUUCGCGUUCCACAUUUUCUCUACUUGCAUUAUAAAACCCUAGUUCUUGACAAUAAUUUUGAAAUUGGGGAUCAUAUCAAUUUAAUUUUUCAUUUUUUCCUUAUUUAAUUAUAGUUCCUUGUGAAAGUUUUUUUUUUCUUUGUUUUACCCUACUUUCUUGAUGUUUAUAGUUAAUUUUGACGAAUUAGAAAAUUUGAAUACUGUGCGAAUUUCAAAUUUGGAACGUUCGUGCGUACUUGUAAAUGUCAGUAUUGUUGCGAACAUUGUUUUCCACUCUAUUCAGGGUGAAAUUAUCUGUGAGAAAUUAACAAUUGGAAUCUGCACGAUUAUUUACUUCCUCAGUUUAUAUUUUUGGGCACUGCUAGAUUUUGCCUGAAUUGAGAUCAAUAUUCUUAAGUGUUAUUGGCUUCCAAGAGCCACAAAUUAUUAAUUUCUAAGGUUUUUCAUGUUACAAUUACUCUGCGUCACAGAAAAAGACAAAAGAAGCAACACAGAAACACGGAUAUGAACUAAAUGGGAGGCAAGUAUAUAAAUGCAGCCUUUUAAUUCUAAUUGAAGGCUAUCUGGAGUUCAAACCCAAUCUUAGUGGGUGCUUUAUCAUAUUUCUCUUGAGCACAUAAUAUUUGUUAAUUAUUAUAUCUUUUUACUUGAAAAAUUAUAAUGAAUUAUUGUCUUGCGCAGUGUUUUCCAUAUGACCAGUAAUUGUGAUUGGUAAAAUUAUGUAGUAAUAGGAAUAAGAAGCGGAAUUCAAUUUUGAAAAAUUUAGUAUAAAAUCAAAAAUAAAAACUGAUGGUUUUGGAUUUUUUCAGUAAGUCCUAUUUGUCUCUUGUAAUAAAUUUAUCUAAUACAAUUUUAAUAUGAUAUGCUUUUUUGGCUUGCUUGUCUCUUUAUUUUACCCUUGGCCAUUGACAGUUUUUUUGCUUCUGUAGACUAUAAUCUCUUAGUAUUUCUAAGCAGCCAACUUAUUGAGGCCAUGACCAUUAUGAAGAAGGUUUGUCUCAAAAUCUAAUGUCCUGCAUAUGAUUGUUUUUAUCAGUAUAUCUUUGUUAUGAACUUCUUCGUCUACUCAUUAUGUGUAUGAUUAUCUUUUUUUGCCCCUCUCGCUCUUUGUUCUUUAGUUGUCUUACCACUCGUGGGUGACGAUGAAGAUGUAUAGAACUGUCAAUGAAGUUACUUCUAAAUUCUAAUCGUAUUAGUUAGCCUUUUCUGAUAUAGGUCACUUGUAGAAGAAGUAUACGUUAUUUAUGCAUCUGAAUAUGAAUGUUUUUAUAUCCUUCUCAUCUGAUUUUAGAAUGCGUUGUUGUCACCACAAAAGAUGUAAGACCUAAAGACAGUCCCUCAACAGAGAAUAAAAUUGUCCACAUUAUGCUCGAAGUUCAGAGUUUUAUAACAUUAGGAUCAAUGGCAUCUGAAUAUGAAUGUUUCUAUAUCCUUCUCAUCUGAUUGAAGAAUGCAUUGUUGUCACCAGAGAAGAUGUAAGACUUAAAGAUAGUCCCUCAGUAGAGAAUAAAAUUGUCCACAUUAUGCUCAAAGUUCAGAGUUUUAUAUCAUUAGGAACAAUGGUGUUUGCAAGGGAAAGUCAUUCUUUUGAUUCUGUUUUAUUGGAAUUACUCUCUGUCCCUGCCCUGUUACCAGUGACAUAUAGAGCAUAAUGGAUUUUAUCUAAAUAUAGACCAGCAAUGCAUGUAUUAUUACAUUAUACUCAAAAUACAGGAGAUAGGUCCAAAGCUUGCAUGUUUUAAGUGUUUUGCUUGACAAAGACAUUGAUUUUAAUGAUGAAAGAUGCUUGUUUAGGCAAUUAAACAUCUGACUACAUUGUAAAUUUUUCCCUUUUAAUAGUACUUUAUGUGGUUUUUAUUCUUAUAGAUACAUGGACAUCUUUGAGGUUUAUAAAUGUAGUCUAAAGGGAUGAUCACAUGUGAAGACAAUUAAAAGAAGAGCUUCUUGUUUUGAUUGUUAUGAGUGGGAGAGGAAAGCUGAAAACCCUCCUAGAUAAGGUGUUUAAUUUUUUUUAGUGAGUUAAAACUUGAUAAAUUCCUACUUUCACUCUAGUGUCAAUAAUGUAAGAGUAAAACUACACUUUGAUACGAUUUUAAUUGGGUAACUACACCUUAAUUUGAUUUUAAUGAAGAUAAUUUUGUCAAGUUCCACUGAUAAUAAUUGAUAAUGUGGUAAUCAAUAAAUAUUUGCAAUUACACACAACCAUUAUUUGUGUAAAUGAAAGAGGUCAACUUCAAUGAAUUUAAUGACAUGCAUCAUUUAUUAAUUGUUAUGUCAUCGAUUUCCAUCAGUCCAAGUAAAGGAAUCAGAUGGAGUUAUCAAUUGAAAUCAAAUUAAAGUGUAGUAUAGUUACCUCAUUGAACUGGAGUGAAAUUAUAGUAAAAAAUGAAAUCUACCCGUUCAAACAGACUUGUAAUCAAUCAUAAUUAGGAAAAUUUAAAUAAGUAUCGAUUAUGUAUUUAUAUAGUUUCAUGCAAUUCGAUCUAGGUAUGCUUAUUUGUUGGUCAUAAGCUUUAUCUUCUUUGUUUUAUCAUUGUCGGGAACUCGUAAUCACUGCUCAUGUUGUUCAUGCCCUAUCUAUCUGUAAGAUGGAAUCACGGUUUCGUGACUUCUUAUCUACUUUGGAUGUUAUGGAGAUAUGGAUGUAACUGUUCUGAUAUACUCAUUUAAAGACUAAUGUUGGCCUAUGUUAUAUUUGUCUUUUGUAUUUGUUAGCAGCAUUCUGGACGUAGUGUUACUUUGCAAGUAUUUGAUAAAUUGGUGGAGGAGAUUGGAUGUCCAGUUGACUUUGAACUUCCUGAAUGUUUAAAUAAAUGGAAACCUACACCCUACUCCUUUAUCAGGCGCAGUAUCCUUAAAAGCUUUAGUUCCUAUGAUUAGUGCCAUAUGUUGAUAUUUGUUAUUUUAUAUGCUUGUUCUCAUCUUUGUAACUCCUUUCCCAAUCAAGAUAUCCACUGUUCAUUAAUACCCUUUUUUGUAACUCUGUUUGGUCUACCUGACUCCCAUCUCUCCCCCUCCUUUUCGUUUUUUGUUGAUCUUAACAACUUCAAGAUGUAUAUCUUGUGAAGAAGGUUAAAAGGCGUCAGGAGGACGAUGGCAUCUUUUGUUCAUGCAGCUCAAUGGCUGGAUCAUCUGGGGUUUGUGGCAGAGAUUGCCUAUGUGGGUAAGGACAUCUAGGAUUAAGUUACUUUAAUAAUUUGAUACUGUUAAAUACAUUGUAGUGAUGGAAUUUUAGGACUAUACAUUGGUCCUUAAAAUGUGAAAAAUAAAUUUUAGAACCUCAUAUUGGUUCCAUAAAUGUGAGUUUACAAAUUUGGCUUGAGCAGGCUAUUUUCUUCCUUACUGUAUAUACAGUUAAAUUUGACUGAAUGGUAGCUCUACCUUAACAGAUUUUAGGACUAUACAUUGGUCCCCAAAAUUGAAAAAUAAAUUUUACGACCACAUAUUGGUUCCCUGCAAGUUUACAAAUUUAGCUUGAGUAGGCUAUUUUCUUCCCUACUGUAUAUACAGUUAAAUUUGACUGAAUGGUAGUUCUACCUUUACAGACAAUCUUAGUUUUUAUCCUUCAUAACCAUGACAUAAAGAGUUGAUGAACUAUUGUUGUUGUGUUGGCCUUUAAUGAAGGAAGAAUUUGGCCUUUAAUGAAGGAAGAAUUUAAGCGAAAAGGUUAAAACACAUUUUCCUCUGUGGGGGUUAUUUGGGCAGUGGCAAAGCCAGAUUACAACGCCUCUCAUUUUGUUGCCUUACACCUCGUAUGUGAAGGAUCAAACACCCUUUUUAUCCGCGGUGCGUCACUUAAAAGAAUGGUAUCACUGACUAGUCAUUCCUUCUAGUUCGGAUUUAUUUCUGGUGCUGUUAUGUAACACUGUCCGUCUGUUGGUGUAAAUCAAGUAUAGUUGAAACAAGAAUGUUUAGAUGGAUUUUUGGUAAAACAUGAAAAAGAUAAGAGUAAGAAUGAGAAUAGAGUUGGAUAAAGUCGUACUCAUUGAGGAGAUACUGCAGGGUAAUUGAUAGGAGUGAUUUAAUUAGUUCAACAAGGGCUGCCACAUGCACCAGUUAGGAAAAGUGCCUAGGAAGAUAUUGAACUAAAAUGACAUAGAAUGAGUAAUGACCAAAGGAUAUAUACCUUUCUGCUGGUGUAACUUUUGUGUUGACCUUUGAUAAAAUAGAGCUAAAGAAAAUACUCUAUGUAGCGAUCCCUAUGUACGUAUGUGAUAAGGUCUAGUUGAGUUAAGCAGAGCAUUUUAUCUUCUGUGUAUUUCCAGUGAAAAUCUCUCUGCAUGAUGGAGUAUUUUCUGGCUUUUCUUGCUUUAUUUUCUGGGAAAGUUAUACUUUGUUGUGCACAUUAAUAUUCUUUGGAUGGGAUCAUCAUUCUUUUUGAGCUGUUAAUUGAUACUUGAGUUCAUAUGUUUUCUGCUAUGGAUUGAAAAAUAUCUUUUCUUGAUUAGUAGUUUUUUUUUUUUUUGCAGCAUGCUCAUGUCGAGCUGCUCUUUUGCCUGUAAUUGUGGGAUCUCCUGUGUGAAUAAGCCAUUCCAUCAACGACCUGUGAAAAAGAUGAAAACAGUUGAGGUGACAGUUCUUUUUUAUCAUUACAACUAUAAUGAAACAUUUAAUCAAAACAAAAGAUCCCUUCUGCAGAUGCUCUCAUUUUCUUUUAUCAUAGCUUCUGGGUCCUGUUUGACUGAAAUCUUGGAAUGCGGUAUACACCAUGAGCACGUGCAAGCAUACCAAACAUCAAAACUUCUUCAAGAGCUUGAUAUUCAUUCAUGGACCCACUCUCUUAACACUUGCUGUUAGGCUUGUUGAGCUACUAGACAAGAUUGAGGAAGAGAGACGUGAGAUGUUUGUUGGUUCUACCUAUCUAGUACAAUAUGCCAAAUAUGCCCUUAAGUGUUUUGGGGAAUAAGUAGUUAUUUAUGUUUUUGUAGAGUUCUUGUUGUAGGAGGUCUGCCAUUAUGAUUUAUUAGUGUGCUUCUUUCAUUAAAGAGACGUGCAUCCCCCUUUUUACUUGACUAAUUACUUGUGUGAGGUUUGUUCUUAAUGGUGGAAGUUGAGAGCUUGAUACACAUUGUUGGGUUGGGAGUAUCACUUGAUUUAUGCUGUUUGUUCAGAUUGAUUUUCCAAGUCAUGGUCGUAUCUUAUAUGAUGUCAAGGAUCCUCUUUUUAAACUCUUCACAUUAGAAAAGCGCGUAGGCGUGCAAUAUGUUUUGCUUUUAGAACCAUCAAACCCAUAAUAUAGUUCUUCUGAAUCUGUGAACCUUUAUAAAUACAUUUUGCAAUGGUACAGAAACCUUGGUUGGGGGUUCUAUAAUCUGAGCUGAUGGUAGUGCUGCUUGGUUUAGUCCUACACUUCUAGUUCUUGGAUGUUUGUUCUCAUUCAGUUCUAUAAGAGGCCAUAAUUCUUUUUUACCCCAUAAAUGUGUAUUACCCUCACAUGACAUAUUCUGUUAAUAUUUUUGCUUUGUCAAUACUUCUGUAAGGUUCAUCUCUUCUUCAUUUCGCAUUGUAACACCAAUUUCUUAGAGAUUUGCUUUUUUAAGCAUUCUUUUGUCUAUUCUGAAUUGCAACGGGAGACCCUGUGCUCCUUUUGGUGCUAGCACAAUUCGUCGUACGUGCACAGCAUGCAGCUGAUUAUUGCCAUUUGUAUGUAGAUAUUUACGUUCUGUUUUCCUUGAUGUCUAUUAGGUUGAUUUUUGUGCACUGUACUUGUGCUAUGUCUGGUGGCAUGGGUUUGGAAUUAAUAAAAAAUCAAGUUGAAUCCAAUUCCAUCUUUCCAAAUACACUUUCCCCUUUUUUUUAUUUUUUAUACUUUCAGCCUUGUGAUUAUGAUCAAUAUCCGUAUAUUGUUACUCAUUCAGUUUAUCUGCAAAAAUGUGGAGCUGACGAACUCUCUCUCUCUCUCUUCAUUAUUAUUAUUAUUAUUAAUUUUAUUUAUUUAUUUAUUUAUUAUUAUUAUUAUUAUUAUUAUUAUUAUUAUUUUUGGAAGACUGAGAAAUGUGGACUGGGAGUUGUGGCUGGGGAAGAUAUUAAGCAAGGAGAGUUCGUGAUAGAAUAUGUUGGAGAAGGUGAAAAAUUAUCAGUUUUGCAUGUUUAUUUUAUCACUUUAUGUCUUCAACAUAAAAAUAUAAAUUGAAUGCAUUAUGUUACUCAUGAUUGCAGUGAUCGAUGACAAAACAUGUGAGGAAAGGCUUUGGAAAAUGAAACACCGUGGAGAGACAAAUUUUUACUUGUGUGAAAUUAAUAGAGACAUGGUGAUUGAUGCAACUUACAAGGGAAACAAAUCCAGAUACAUAAAUCACAGUUGCUGUCCCAACACUGAGAUGCAGAAAUGGUUGAACUGAUCCUUAUUCUCUGCAUUUUAAUCUCAUUUUUCUGUUAGCAUAGUUCUCACUCAACUUUUCCUUUCAGGAUGAUUGAUGGUGAAACAAGAAUAGGUAUAUUUGCAACUCGUGAUAUUGUAAAGGGCGAACAUCUGACCUAUGAUUAUCAGUACGGGUUAUUACUUGAACUUUUGAAGCAUAUUGUAACUGCUGAUUCUUUUUCUUCCAAGAAUCAUGAUCUCCAUGUCAAUCUAACAAGUAUCUCGCAGGUUUGUUCAAUUUGGAGCAGAUCAAGAUUGCUUCUGUGGUGCUACAGGCUGCAGGAAAAAGCUAGGAGUUAAGCCUAAUAAAUUGAAAAUGCCUUCAGAUGCUGCAUUGAAGAUAGUAGCAUGUCAAAUGGCUGCCAAUUCUCCGAAAAUGAAAGCAGCUCUAUCCUCCCUCAAAAAAGGGAUUACAGCCUCAAAUAAUUCUGAAAAAAUAGGAAAACAUGUAAGUUUUGCUUGAGCAUCAAGAUAGAAGACACAAAGUUCCACUUUUUUUACACACUGUAUUUAUCAUAUGGUUCUGAUACUUCUCAUUCCUGAAUUGAAUGGAGAAGUUAGCUCAGAUUGAAAGAUUCCAGUGGACUGGAUUAAUGGUGCCAAAACAUGAAUUGACCUCUUCCAUGGUCUGGCUGGGAUUGACUUUGGAAUAUGGUAUUGUUAUAGUUGAUUGAUUGGGCCUUGCAAAGUGUGUUUCAUGGAAGAUUGGGCCUGGAUUUCUGGUUCCGUUCCAGAAGAAGCAAUGGUGAGAUGAAUAGGAAAGGACCUAUGAGGACCAUGUGAAGGAGUUGAAGGAGGAAUAAAAGUUUUGCAUUUGAAAGUUUGGGUGACAGCUUGAAGUUACUGGCCAUUGAAAACAUGGUCAGCAAGGUUCAUAACUGAGCUACUAAGGCAUAGGAUGUCAUGGCAUUUGCUAAAAAAUAUAAAAAACUAAACCUAAAACAAAAAGGGGAAGGAAAAUAAUGAAAGCUAGAAACCUUAAAAUAAGUUUUAGAGAGUUUGAUGCAGUGACAAGUUUUUUUGCAUGAAAGGGUGAGAGUCUAGAGACUCACAUUUCUAUCUUUUUUUCUUGAAGAGGAUGGAGAAUUGUGAGAGAGUCGUCGUUGUUAUGUAGGAGAGUACUACAUAUCACAUGCUUUCCUGUCCAAUACCACUAUGUAUUUAUUCUUACCUUCUUUACACAUUCAAUAAAAGAUGUAUGUGUACUUAUGCCACUUUCUGAAGAUUUUAUAAAUGGGCUAGUAAGUUAUUGCAUUACCCUUUUUUGUAGGUCCAUUCAAAUGGAAUUCCUGCUGUAGGUGGGUUUCUUCUCAGAAUCAAUUGUCAGUUUUGCCAAGGACUUCUCCAUUUGAACUUGGAAAUUUUUGUAAUGUUGGUUAUUGUACUUACCUUUUCAGGAGGUUUAGGUUGUAAAUCUAUUUCAAGAAGAAAACCUCAUAAUUGCAUUGGUUCAGUAAUAAGAAUUAUUCGCUCUUUGGAUAAGAGGUAUUUCUGAUUCUCUGAUCUCCUUGAAUAUCAUUUAUUGAAUUUUUAUUUUUAUUUUUUUUGAAGCAUUUUAAUUGAAUUUUUCUGCAUGAAUUGUUAACUGCUCUCUAGGUGAUUAGAGUUUAAUCUAUAGUUCAUAGUUUAGAUGUUUCCAUUGUAUCUCAUUUUCACAGGAUCAUAAGUUUAUAUGCUGAAUAUUCUAUUGCAUUUGCUUCAUAUUUGUCAGGUCUUUUGGGAUAAUAAAACGAUUUGAUAAGGCCACAAGAAGACAUUCGGUGAGGCAGCAAUGGCUCCUUGUUGCAACAAAUACUUUUGGUUUGCCAAAAAAUAUUAAAAUUUUCUAAUUUACUCGUCUUUUUCCUUCGCCAGAUCAUGUUUGAAGAUGGCAGUUCAGAGUUUCUAGACUUGUCAAAAGAAGAAUGGGAAUUUUACAACCAUUAAUCUAACUUGUAAGUACUUUCCCACGCUCCAAGCCGUUCCAAACAUUGAUUAUACUACUAGUUUUAUGAGUUAUCCUUUCAUGUGGAUGUACUGAAAAAUAUAAUUGAGGGGGAAGAAGAAAAGGACUUCAGUUUCAAUCUCAAAUGUGCCCACCAAAGAAGAAAAUUGUCAUGAUGCACGAUUAAAGACAUCUUUUAUUACUCUGUACAUCAUUCAUUGAGGGCCCGUUUGGUAGAGCUUUUGCUUUUAUUUUUGCUUUUGCUUCUACUUCUUGUCGAGGAGCUUUUUGAAGAAGCUACUUUAGGCCAACUUUCUCUAAAAGCUUUUCUAGCCAAAGAGCUUUAUCCAAAUAUGUUCAAAAACAAGUUCAUAGUCUCAGAAGCAACAUAUGAUUUUUUAAAAGCCCUACUAAACUAACCCUUAGCCUUAAAAGAAGAUGGAGAAGACAUGUUAGUGACCUCGAUCUGUUUGUUUUGGCAGGUAUUAGAAGUAAGAAUUAAUGUAACAGAUCAAGCCCCUGUUCUAACUCAUUACACAGAGACAUUUACUGCUUCAGCCCAAUCGGCAGGUUGUACCAUUUCCUGAUCUCAAUUCUUUCAGACAAUAAGUUCACCUUUAUGUUUCGUCUUACGAAUAAUAGUAUAAGCAAUGCAAAUGUAAUUUUAGCUUAGAAUUUGAAUGAUUAGAAUAUGCAGAAUUUGAAACAGUGUUGUUAACAGCAUUUCACUUGAUAAAAUGCAUUUAACUUUGAACUGCCCUUUUUCCUCGUCUCCAUCUAGACAUUUGAGCCAUGAUUGCUACUUUGCUAGUCUUGUUAUGUUCUUGGAAUUGCUUGAGAUCAAUGAUGAAAAUAAAUACAAUCUGAAUUUGAAAAAAGAAGUUAUGUUAUAUUGAAAAUGUUUUGUCUUGAAAAGAGAUUACUACUAUUGAAAAUCUAUUUCUGGUGAGCUAGUUCUCUUUUAGAGUGGACUUCUGAUAAGAUUUUUCCUAAAGAGUUUGGUAAUAAACGUCCAUUAUACAUAUUUUCAAGCAACUGCCGUGCAUCUGGCCGCCUUAGAAGACCUUGUUGUUCGGCAAACCAGUCCCCAGGCACGCGGGACACACUAGUUUCCCUCGACCUGCACCAAAACCCACCUGUCACGUAUCAUAAAUGCUACAGAUUCAAACCACCGAUAAAUACUUAGGAGCUCGAACUGAGUAAUGAGAGUUCUUUAUUUGGCAGGGUUUGUGUGGAAAAAGUACUCAAAAUGCAAUUGUAAUGAACAUUGCACUGUUGUCCUUUCUUGAUUAUGCUGUUAACGUUCCAUCAUCAUAAUUUCCUGUCAGUAUUAUCUCUAUAAUCUUCUAUCAUACUAAAUUACCGACGGUAAUAGUUCAACAGCAUAAUGAGCAUCUAUGGAGAAUACAGAGUGAAGAACCAAACUUCAUAUUAAUGAAUCUAUGAGUUGUGAUAAGUAACAAACCGUAACAAUUUGGACAUUCUGGAAACUCGUAAACAUCUUUGGCCCUUAUUCUAUUCUAAGCUUUCCAUUUUCCCGUACCACCGCACAUAUCACAUCUAAAUAACGAGCAAAUAAACAUCUCGCAGAUCAGUCUAGGUUAAUAAAAAGAGACAUAAAACUAGAUACGACUGAAUGUUUCGAAGAAUUCAAACAUCGACUCUUGUGGGCUCAAUGUCAAGUGUUUUGCAGUACUUAGUGUCCUUAGGCAAAGAUACAGGAGAGAACAGAUUUUGAACACAUUAAGAAAAAAUGAUUGUCCCAUAGUUUAUCAGGUUACGUUUCCAGUCAUGCAGAUUCUUUCCGCAACUAAGGAAGAGAUCUUGACGGAACUGGUACCAUACUCCAAGACUUAGAGUAGACGAUGACACUGCUCAUGUUCAUGGUCUUUGGUGCAGCACGAAACAAAUAAUUCAAACGAAAACUUUAAGAACACAAAUCCAGAAUCCACCAAAGAAUGAAAGAUAUAAGUCAAGAAGUUUUUUUAAUUUCAAGAUGCCCAAAAACAAUGAAUUAAUCCUUUAUUUAUAAGCGUUUAAAUGAUAAAUAAAAAAAUGAAAAAAUAAAAACUAGCAUAAAAGAAAUAAAUUGUUAAGAAUUCAAAAUAAAAAAUAGUACUAAAACUUUUAAAGGCAGUUUUCGAGUUUUAAACGAAUUCUAAUGGUUAAAAUUCAUCACACAUUACAGCUAUGACAUGAGUUCAAUUCGUCUUGUCGUUCUCUUUCUAAAAAGGUAUUAUGGGCCCAAAUUUGAGCUAGAGUGACAAAUUUGCAAUUUAUUAUUUUUCUCUUUUCAAUAUAACCGUUUCUCAAUCCACGGUCUUGAUGAAGUAAUAGCUGGGAUAAAACAUUAAUGAUGGAUCAACUAAGCCUCUCUAGGACUUUCUUAAAGAGACUAUUCAACUGUCCUAUUUUCCUUUUCUUUUCUUACAAAUUCAUCUGUUCAAAAGAAAUUUUGUUGCUGAAAAUUGCUUAAACGAAACAAAAUAACAGUGGACCUACAACAAAUAGAAAACUUCUAUGUGAAUGGUAUAGUCACUUCAUGCAAAAAUGCAUAAUAAAUCCUACUGAUGGUUGACAAAGCUCAAGAGAUGCUAAUAAGGUGUUUUACCUCAUUAUUUGCAGUCUGAGUGAACAGUGAUAUAAGGCAACCAUAAUAAGCAUUGGAGAUAAAGUAAGCAUUCAUACCUACAGAUAAUAGCACCACUACCCCCGCAAUUUUGACAUACAGCUCGCUCUUUGCCAUCCAAGGCACUUGCAUUUUGUCCAGAAUUAGAAACACCAGGAGCUACUAUCAAGGCUACUGUAGUACAUAAACAAGUCAGACACUGGCGAUUAAAGAUGUUGCUUUUUGAGAUCCCUGUUUAACAGAAGAAAAGAUUACUUGAAACAACAGGAGAUUUCAAGAGAAACUGAAUAAAACGUUUUGCAGUCAUUUCUAUGGAUGAAGAUGAGCUACAAUUUGAUCGGCAGAUAAGAAUACAGUUUAUAAAAUAAAUUAUAUUUAGCCAAAAUCAAAAGAUGAUUCUACCAACGUAAUAAUGAUAUAACUUAUGAUAACUGAUUGACUGCAUAUUCCUAUGCCAUCCAUCCAUGAAAACUAACGAGGACAUCUACUUUUUAUUUAUUUUUAGUUGGACUUUAUUUAUGUUUUAGAUUUUAUUUAUGUAGUUGGGCUUGUGUUGGUCCAAGUCCAUUCUACUUAGAGUUUUAGUCUUUACUAUUUAAACCUAAUUGCGAUAUAAUUUCAUUAGUUUUGAUGAAUUGAAGAAUGUUUUGGUGGUUUGUUGCCUAUGGCUUUUCCUUCCUCUCCCUCCUCCUCUUCCCCAUGAAUUUCUGCUUCUUUUCCUGUUCCUCCCCCAUUCUCUCCGGUUCUCCCCUCUUUCUUGCUUCUUCUUCCUAUUUUUUAACUUGUCCUGUAUCAAAUUUGGUAUCAGAAUCGAAACUUGGGUAAACCUAAUCUAUAAUACAAACUUCUUUCUCCCCUUCUUCCCAAAAUUUGUUGGAACAACACAAAUGAAAAGAUUUUCAGUGCACAAGCAGCAGAUUCCAUUUUUCUAGUUGUCAUUCGUUGUUGAAAAAAAAAAAGUUACUAUUCGGGUUACUGUUCACACCCAAUUUCAGUUUUUUUCCUUAAAUUUUUUAUUGUAGUUGCCAAAAAAAAAAUUGUUCACGUUACUGUUCACAGGCGGAAAUUUCAGUUUAGGUUUUUUCUGCAAUUUCAAUUCCCCUCCACCCAAAAAAAAUCUCGUUUGCUACUAUUUCUUCUAUACAAUUGUAGUGUUGUUUCACAAAUUCCAACCCUAACAUUCAAUCCUACUUACACACGGCCCAAUUCCAUUUAGCCCAACUAAUCCAGCCUACUCUCUGCGACCCAGGCCCACUCCCCAAACACUAACCCCAGCUGGCUCAUCUCUAUAACAGGAUCCAAACCCCUUCCCAUCUAGCCCAAUCCCAAAUAUCCGACCAAGCCCGAUUAUAACCAAUUCAUUAACAUCAAAUACCACACAGUUUCACCCGAUUCCUCUCUCACAACCACUCUCUUGCCGUCGCCUCUAAUCACCAUCACGCCACCACUUCAUUAUUUAUUGUAUCCAGACAUCCAAAGCACUACUGCUUCAUCGCCAUAGGCCACCACCACCAACCCAAGAUCAUACACUUCCACCAUCGUUACCACACAUAUAUUCCUCGUUCAUCUCAACAAUCUAAAAGCCAGUCACCACACUCAGUUUCACGUCCACACCAGAACCAGCACAAGUUACAGUCAAUAGGGGCUAAAACCAUUGGACACGAAGGGAAUAACAGAAGCAUAGUUGGGGCUCAUAAGUCGGCAAUUCAGAUCAAUCGGCAUACAAAUAAUCAAAACUAAACAACAGGGAGUCCUUGAUCUCUAUUUAGUAUUGGUUUAUACUACUGCUUCAUUUUUAAAAUUGCAUCAAUUAAAAUAUUGUGUUGCUGUUAUCAUGAGAAUUUUAGCCUUAAACCCCAUUUGAUUGAAACCAUUAAUCGAAUUGACACCAGUGAUCGAAUUGACUUUCAUUGUUCCCCACUUAAAUUGAUUGGAGAAUUUGACUAGUGUGCUGACCAUUGCUUUGCCAUUUUAUAUGUACUAGCAGUAUUAGCUUGUUUUGGAUUUAAUUAAUACCAAUAUUUAAAAUUAAAAAAAAUGGUACAAGUUAUUUUCCAUUGCUUGCACAUAUUGUUCACUGAUCUCAUCAUAGCACGUCAUUUAGCUGGUAUUACAUUGCAUGUAGUUGUAUAGUGGUCGUCUUGUCGUCUUUAUUUCCAAUACAUUAACCAUGGAUCCAUCCCAAUUUGAUGCACUCACUAGACAAUUAGCGCAACUUGCCACUAGUCUAUCGACUGUCCAAUAAGAUAUAACUGCUAUUCGUGAGGAGAGAAAGAACCUAGCUGCUAAGUUGAGCAAUUUUAAGCGAAUUCCUCGUUUGACUGACACUAAUUUUGAAGCGUCUCAUAAUAGACAAUAUCAUCGUGGACGAAGUGAUUAAGAAUAUUUUCGACGCGAUCGUAGGAAUAGGGAUCAGGUUCGUGAGCGAGAACAAGGCCAUGGUCAUCAUGGUACUCAUUCUCUUCCUCGUCGUAAGGAGUGUUUCGUUAGAAACAUUGACUUAGAUAUUCCUACUUUCGAUGGUUGCUUAAAUCAUGGAAUUUUUACCCAAUGGAACACCCUUACACAAGGAAAUCAGCUAGUAACUGAGUACAUUACUCAAUUUGAGGAAUUUCGAGUGAAAUGUCAUGUCGUUAAGGAUGAGGCCCUGACUUUGAGUAGGUUUAUACAAGGUCUAAGAGAUUAACUCAGGCGUAAGCUUUUCUUUCGAGGUGUCACUACUCUUGAUCACGCUUACUCUUUAGCUCAGGACUACGAGUUGCUUAUUAAUGCUCCAUAUGAAAAGCGGAGUCACCAUCGUUCACCCAUCUCAUCAGCGGCACCUCAACGUGAGUCUGCCAUAGAACCUUUUCCAUUUAGUGUUCCUCCCUUUUGGAAAAAUAAGUGUAAAGGUCGUGAUAGUCCAAUGCCCUCUUCUCCAUAUAGAAAGCAUAUUGACAACUAUUUUUCUGUUUCAUUGGCUCCACUUCCUCCCGUUAAGUCCCCUCUAGAACUUUCCCUGUCUAAUGUUCCUCCCAUCUUGGAAAAUAAGGGUAAAAUUUUUGAAUCUCCAAAGACUUCUUCUCACCUGCUAUGCAUCAGCUGUAAGGACUUUGGUCACAUCUCUUCCAAAUGUCCUAAUCGAGCCUUAGUCAUAGAAGAACGAAAGAAUGUAAUAGAAGAUCUAGUGUACGAACCUAAACUUGAAGAUUUUGAAGAUGAUAGUAAGGACACCUCCUUAGGUGGCACCCAGAUUCUUCCUGAGACUCUAGAUACUAUAUCCCAUGAUUUCACUAGUCACUUUUGGAGAACCCAGUCGCCUAUGGUUAACACUAAAUUGAAAUUCUCCACUGUAGACCAACAUCAGACUGAUAGUCAAAAUGAAGUCGUUAACCAAAGUUCUAACAAUUUAUUCAAGUCUCUAGUCCAGAAAAAUCUUGGGAAUUGGGACUCGAUCCCCCAACUGCUCAGAUUGCAUAUAACAAUUCUAUGAAUCAGUCUCUAGGUCUAAAUCCAGUUGAAAUUGUUCAUAGUUAUAAGUCUAGGCGGCCGUUAGAUCUUAUUCCCAUGUCCCCGCAUGCUAGUGUGUCAUUAUCAGCUGAAGUAUUUGUACGUCAUCUUCAUGACUUGCAUAUUGAGAUCAAUAAACAACAUGACACAAGUAAUGCAUUAUAUAAACUUCAAGCUGAUUUGCAUAAACAAUAUUUUGAAUUUAAUAUUGGGGAUUAUGUUAUAUUGCAAGCUUGUAGUGCUGGUCCUUUAAAAAUGUUAAAGCAUGUUGGUUCAAAUGCACGUAUCAUUGCCCUUUCAUCACAUUUUGGCUACUACUCUGCUUUAAAUACUGAGGAAUUCAUUACUUAUAAACACCGUGUUACUUCCUUUGAUAAUCUAUUUCUACUUAGCUUUAUGGACCCCCAACUUGAUUAUGUUGAUAUUUUUACUUCAAUACCAUCUAUCGCAACACACAAAGAUAAAAUUGAUGUUAUUUUAGAUGAACGUGUUGUAUUGACCAAUGAUGGCAAGAUUCAGUACUUCCUUGUUUGUUAGGUAGAUCGACGUGCUUCUUAUGCUCCUCAUUAUAUACAAUCAUGUAAAAAUCUUGAAGAUGAGGUGCAUGAGUAUUGGUUAUUUGAAAUCCAGUAUCAGUACUUGGUUAGAAGGAAAGAUCGCCCCCCUUGGUCAUAUCAUAUUCUUAGAAAUAAGCUACAGUUUUCAGUACUAUCAAUCAUGAAAUUUUGUUACUUGGUUCGUCAGAAAGAUCGUCCCCUGUGGCUUGACUUGACACAUUUGGAGCAUCAAAUUGACUGUAGUCUAUACCAUCUAUCAACUCGACAGGGUCGAGUUUUUCUCCCACCCCGAAAGAGUUGAUGAGGACAUCUACUUUUUAUUUAUUUUUAGUUGGACUUUCUUUAUGUUUUAGAUUUUAUUUAUGUAAUUAAGCUUGUGUUGGCCCAAGUCCAUUCUACUUAGGGUUUUAGUCUUUACUAUUUAAACCUAAUGCGAUGUAAUUUCAUUAGUUUUGAUGAAUUGAAGAAUAUUUUGGUGGUUUGUUGCCUAUGGCUUCUCCUUCCUCUCUCUCCUCCUCUUCCCCAUGAAUUUCUGCUUCUUCUCCGGUUCCUCCCCCCAUUCUCUCCGGUUCUCCCCUCUUUCUUGCUUCUUCUUCCUAUUUUUUAAUUCGUCGUGCAUCAAAAACCAUUUAAGCUCAUGGUCGAAAGAAAGGACCAUUUUGUAUCAGAAACACAGCCAUCCAAAACAGAUAGAAGAUGCCACUACUAGUUUUUAAUGUCAGAAUCCAAAAUGUACUAUGAAUUUCCUCACCCCCAUCACCCCCUUUUCUCUCUUUUUUGAUCUAAUAAUCAGGAUGACAUUAGAAGUAAAAAUUUCCAAUGGGGAAUCUUCAUUACACACUGCAAGCGCGUCUAUCAAAUGUGUCUAACGUCAGUCUCCUCUUCUAAAUCUUCGUUCUGACUAUUUUCAGUCAUUGUCUCAUAUAUUCGUUUAGAGGAGCUUGCUUUCUCUUUGGAUCUGUAUGGAAAUACUUCUUCAAAGAAUAUAGCAUUCCUUGAUUCCAUUAUCGUGUUUUUGUGUAUGUCUGGAAUUUUUGAAUCAUACACAAGAAAGCGAUACGCACUGUUAUUAUGUGCAUAGCCAAUGAAGACACAGUCUAUAAUUUUCGGGCCUAUCCUUACCUUCUUUGGUGGUGGAACAACCACUUUAGCAAGACACCCCCACACUCGCAAGUGUUUAUAGGUAGACAUUCUUCCUUUCCAUAACUCAUAAGGGGUCUUUUCCGAUUUCUUUCGAGGCACCUUAUUUAAAAGGUAAUUUGCUGAUAAGACAGCUUCCCCCCACAUGUUCUGAGGUAACCCAGAAUUUACGAGCAUUGCAUUCAUCAUCUCUUUUAAGGUACAAUUUUUCCGUUCAGCAACACCAUUUUGUUGCGGUGAAUAAGGGGCGGUGGUUUCAUGUAUGAUUCCGUGUUGUACACAGAAUUCAGCGAAUGGUGCUUCAUACUCACCACCUCGAUCACUUCGCAGCACCUUAAUUUUCUUAUUAAGUUGAUUCUCAACUUCAUUCUUAUAGAGAAUAAAUUUCUCUAUAGCUUCAUCCUUGCUUUCAAGCAGAUAUACAUAGCAAUAUUUUGUGCUAUCGUCGACAAAAGUAAUAAAAUAUUUGUUACCACCUCUUGUUUGUACAAAUUUUAGAUCACACACGUCACUGUGAACUAAAUCUAGUGGUUCUAUGUUCCGUUCAAUUGAUUUAAACGAUGACCUUGUCAAUUUUGUUUCAACACAAGUUUCACACUUAUCUUUGGAAUCGUUAUUGAACUUAGGUAUGAAGUUAGAGUUAACUAGUCUUCGUAAAGUAUCAUAGUUAACGUGUCCUAGUCUACCAUGUCACAAAUUGGAAGAUUCAAGCAAAUAAGCAGAAGAACUUACUUUAUUCAUUUUUGGUUUCACAACCAUUACAUUGAGUUUAAACAUACCGUCGGAAACAUAACCUUUUCCGACAAACAUUCCACAUUUUGACAGAAUGACUUUGUCUGACUCAAAAACAAUGCGGAAACCAUGCUUAUUCAAAAGCGACUCGGACACUAAAUUCUUGCGAAUUUUCGGUACAUAAAGCACGUUGUUGAGAGUCAGCUCCUUUCCCGAGGUCAUCUUCAGAACCACUUUUCCUUGACCCUUGAUUUCAGAAGUUGUUGAAUUUCCCAUGAACGACUUCUCAAAGCAAGUUGAGACAUCUCAUUUGUUGGUGGAGGCAUCAUUUCCUUGUAGCAGUUAUAUAACCUGUGAAUUGAAUUUUCUACCUUUGCUAACAUCUUCUUAGCAAUUUCUUCAUUAUACAUGAUUUCAAAGCCAACUUUAAAUAAUUCCAACUUGCAUCUCGAGUCAAGAACUGUUGCUAUGAACAAAUCAUUAAACUUUUCAUGAUUGCCCCAAUACUUAUCAUGUUUUCUUCGCAUGCUAAUAGCCAUUUUUCCCAUCAAACUAUUAGGAUCUUUAGCAAAUUCAUUCAACUCCAUAUGAAUUUCACAAAGCUCUUGAAAAAAAGUGUUAGAUGUUACAUAUAAAGAGCCACUAACUUUCAAUGUCAUAUCAUAGAAUGUUUUAAGAAACUUCACAAAAAUUUGUGCUUGAUUCUAAUCAAAUGGAGUGGGUGAACCACUUCUUUCAUUGCCUCUUCUCUCUUCAUCAAAGCACUUUGUGUAAUUUGCAUCACUUUCUAAAGCACCAAAUGCUUUUCUAAAUUUCAUUGCAAUGUCUAAGAUCAAGUAUGUAGAAUUCCAUCUAGUAGUCACAUCCAAACACAACAAAGCUCGAGACUCAAUGUUAACCUUCUUGCAGCUCUCCCUGAACUUUUUCAAUCGUGCUGGGAAAGACCUAGUAAACCUCACAACAUUGCGAAUUGACGAAAUAGAACUACUAAUUUCUUUUAGACCAUUACAAACAAUGAGUUUGAGAAUAUGAGCACAACACCUCAUAUGAAACAUUUCUCCAUCAAGAAUUAGACCAUGUUUAGUAUCCUAAAAACUCUCUUUCAAUUUUGAUAUUGCAAUAUCAUUAGAUGAGGCGUUAUUGACAGUCACACAAAAAAUCUUUUUAAUUCCCCAAUCAUGAAGACAAGAAAUUAACUCCUUAGCCACCAUAUUAUCCUUAUGAUUGGGGACUUGAAUGAAGCUUAUAAUACGUUUUUGAAGGAUCCAAUCAUCAUCAACCUAAUGAGCAGUUAAACACAUGUAACUAAUAUUUUGGAUCGAUGUCCAACAAUCAGUAGUUAAACAAACCCUAUGUCUACUCAAUUCUUUCUUCAAUUACUUCUUUUCAUCAAGGAACAAUUGAUAUAUAUCUUUUGCCACUGUAACUCUUGAAGGAAAUUCAAAUGUUGGAAAAAAACACUUUGUAUAUAAUUGAAAACCUUCAUCUUACACAUGUCUAAAUGGUAACUCUGCCAAUAAGAAGUAUUUAAGAAUCAUUUCUCUAGUCCCUUUUUGAGUGAAAUUAACAACUUGUCCAGAACUAGUAAUGCCUUCUAAAACAUCAUUUUUAGAUUUAGUGUAAUUACUCAUAGUCUUUUGCUUUUUCUUUGGAACCCUAUAUGGAUAUUUCUUACAUAAGCAUUCAAUAUGGUUUCGCAACGUACUAGUCCCCACAUUUUUGUUGCCAUACUUGUAAAGUUGCCCAAAGUAAAUACACUCUGCCUUUUCAUCAUGCAGUUUAAAAUGAUCCCAAACAUUAGAUAUUUUACCUCACUUUUUUUCCCUUAGAGGAAUCUGCAUGUUGAUCAACUUCUACACUAUCAACGGCUAUAUUUGGCUCAAGAUAAUUUUCUUCUUCAGAAAGGUCAACAUGAUCCAUAUAUGUGAUUCUAACAAUAGCAGAUUAAAAUAUAGAUAGCAUUAAUAUGCAAAUCUAGUACUCGAUUACAAAAAAUAAAAAAUAAAAGUAAAUAUUGCAGUCAUCCAAUAUUUUUUAGUAUACCAAAGUGAGUUUGUUUCUUGUGCAGCAUAGUUUUCCUGUUGACGGUUAGAAAAAACAAAUACGAACUCCUACAAAAGAAAUGUACAAUAAUGCGUAUUAGAAGAUAGAAACAUAAUUAUAGAAUAAACGAGAAAAGUGACACAAAGCAAGAAUUCUUUUAAAAGUUUGCUGCAAUACUCCGUGAUUUUGGUAUGAAACUAAUUAUUCCUCAGUGUCAAUCGAUCUGUUUACGGUACUUCAGUCUCCUCAGCAAAUCGACUAUUAUGCUCAUUACAAAAUACACUAGUUUAGAGGCACUAAUCAUGAAUUAGAAGGACAUGGAAUUUUGCCAUUAGAGCUCCAAAAGAUAGAAAAACAGCAUAUCAUUGUCAUGGGCCCCCUAUGAAAUGAAAGUGAAGAACAUGAUGAUUUUAUAGAUUAAACUUUUCAAAGGAAGAUUAAGCCCCCCAAAAUGAUUAUUAUCAAUUCUAUUUCAACAAUGCUUACGGAAACAUCCAAAUGAAGUGAGGAAUAACAAUUUUUUGUAAGGUUUCAAAUUUAUGAAACAACUUCUGCAUGCGAGAACUACUUGAAAAUGUAGAAUGAUGAAAAUUAAUCAAUGAAGGCGUAGGCAAAAUUGCUUUCUUGGACACGUUCUUACUGAAUAGUCUAUUCAAUUGAAAAUUCAACCGCACCCAACUGCCAUGUGAAAUAAGCAUGAUUAUAAUCAAUCAAGAGUUCUUUACUAAUUUAAUUUAUAUGAAAAAUAUCUUUAGUCGGUUGGGGGGUUAGUUACUUUGCUGAUUACUCCCUCCAAGUCCUGGUGAAUAUACUUAGCACUUUUCAAUUUUUGAAUCAGUCAACACCGCACUUUCCAAUUUAAAUAAACAUAAGGGAUGAUCAUCAAAUAGAACAUACCAAUAAUAAAAUCUCAUAGGUGUGCUAGGUGUCGACGACUAGAUGAGAGACGCGACACUUGAAGCUUCAGAGAUGGCGUCGGCGAGAGAGAGUGAGGGAGACUUGGAAUUACGUUUUAGGGUUUUGUUAUUGUGACUUGUGAGUCUUGUUUGGGUUUUUUUCUUUCUUUUUUUUUAAGCGGUCGGGUAAGGUCGGGUUUAUGACUUUAUGUGUUAUUUACGGGCUUACAGCCCAUUUAAAGUCCUAAAAUUUCAAAAAAAAAUUAUUUUUUAAUUUUUCUAUAUUUUUUCGCUGAUAUGAUUUGGUUUUAAACCGAAAUUAAAAUUCUCAAACCUAAACCAAACGGUUUUGACCAGUUUGGUUUGGUUCAAAACCAUUUCGUUGAUCGGGUUUGCGUGAAACCAAACUGAAGGUUUCUAAAAUGCGGUUUCGAUUUGAUUUUCCGAUUUUACAAUUUUUGCUUACAGCCCUACUGUUGGGUAUUCCCAUAUACUCAUCCUUUUCACUACUCGUCACAAGUUAGAUCGGGUCGUUGGUUGGUGGGCGAUGCGGUGUAGUCGUGAUGCCAGAAAUCAUGGAAUUCAAAAAAAUAACUUCGAAGAAACAUGACUAUGAACUUUUAUUUAUUUAUUUAUUUUGUGCAGUUUUAUCUUCAUGUGAAAUUUUAAGAUUUGGGACACGUUUCAGUUAAUUAUGUUUUCCAUGUGUUUUAUCUAUUUUAUAGAUGAAACUAGAAAGAUUUUUCAUGUUGGAUGUUUAAAUUAAUUUAUUUAAUUAUGGAAUAAAAGUUCUUGUUAACGAUUUUAAAUCUUUAAAAUUUUGGGUCGUUACACAUACAACCCUUAUACAUGAUUUAAUCCAAUACUUAGAACUCCAAAAUUUAUCAUUUAGUUUCAUUCAAACUUAUAAAAUCAGAGAAAACAAAGAUUUGACAAAAACAACACUAAAAUCCCAAAGUAUUGAACUGUGGUACCAAUUUCUACAUAUUGAAAUCUGGCAUCGAAACCAUUAAUAGAAAUUGCACAUUCCUGGGCAGAAUUUCAAAAAUAGCACCCUUGCAUUAAUUUUUGCCUGAAAAUUAAUUUAAAAUAUCAAAAUUCAACCUCAACUCCAUAUCUCAUUGUAAUACAUCAUAAAUCAUGUGUUUUAUAUCAUAUACAAACAAUCAAUAUGAAUAUUUAGGCUCUAAUUUACAAACCCAUUUCAUAUAUAUUUUUAUAUCCCCCCUUCAACACAAAUCUUUCAAAUAUACAUUUCUUUGAUAUAUUCUUGUUUAAUACCUUAAAUACCUACUAUUAACCUUUAAUUCUUCCCAAAUCUCGAAUUUGAGAAAUUUCCAUCAAUCCUAAAAUCAAAUAUCAUCCUUCAAUAAAUAAAACUUAUGCGUACCCUGAAAAAUUGAGAGGAAAUUGAAGACCAAGCCCUAUCCCCCCCCCCUCCCCCCCAUUUUUUCCUUUUCUUUCCCUUUCUUCACGAUUAUUCUCUCUCUCUCUCUCUCUCUCUCUCUCUCUCUCUCUCUCUCUCUCUCUGUUGUGUAUAUAUAUAUAUAUAUACACACACACACACACACACACACACACACACACACACACACACAAAUUUCAAAUGAAGAAAUAGCCUCUACAAUGACACUUGUCCUCCAUUAACUCCCAUAUUAGCUAUUCAAGUCCUUCCGUUUAUGUUUUGUAUAAAAUCUGCUCAUUAAACUUUCCAUACUUGUCAAAUAAAUCCUCCGAUUUAAAUGAUGUCCAUUAUAAAUCCUCAAGUAUCUAAAAUAUAAAAUAAGCCCCAAUAAAACAAUUUAUUCCAUUUAAGUCCAUAAUUGAUUUUGACUUUAACUAGUCUAACUUUUGGCUUUGAAUAAAUAAUAUUGACUGUUAACUAGUAUAAAAUGGGAUGUAACACAUGUGUUACUUUUAUAUUCUACCAUUGUUUUUUCAAGAGUAAUAUAUCAAUAUUCUUUUGAAAUAUUGAAAAAUAUAAUUCAUACUCUUUUGGAGCAAGUAAUAUUCUUUAGAGAUAUUAAUUAUAAUGUUGUGCUACUUCAUCAGCAACAACAACAAACUAUUAUUUUAAAAUAUUAAUUAUAAUGUUGAGCUACUUCAGGAGCAACGACUUGAUAAAUUAUUAAUUUAAAAUUUAUAAGAGAAUAUCUUACAAAUAUUUAAUUAGAUUAAAAAUAUUUAUUGCCAUAUAGACAGGGCAUGAUAAGAAAAUUAACUACCAAACAUACAUUAUGAAAAGAAAUCUUCAUAUAUAGAAAUCAACAGAAUUAACUAAAUCUUUUAUUGGCAAAAUAUUUUACUAAAAUGCAAAAGAUGCCAAACACGUGAAUUUCACAUGUACAGAAGUUAAAUGUUUGAAUAACUCUAGAUGAAUUAAUUCAAAAUGAAGUCCACGCAUCAAAAGGCAUGAAUUGGAUGCGUGAAUUGAUAAAAAAAAAAAAUAAUAAUAAAUAAAUAAAUAAAAAUAAAAAUUCACAUGUUCCAAAAUUAAUUUGAGUACAUAUGACAGUGAUUAUGCUUAAAAAACUAUAUUCUCUAAACUUUGAAAAAUUAAAUUAUUGUGCUAAUAAUGUGUUAUGAAAAGAGAGAAAAAGAGAAGAGUGAAUAAAAGUUAAUAGACUCGUGUGUACUAUAAUGAGAACCAAAUUUCAAUAUUUAUAGGUGAGGAUUAGGGAUAUAAUGGUAAUAAUUUAUAAGGCCGCAGGGGUACAAUUGUCAUUCACUAAUAAACUACUUUUUCUCAUGAAUUUUCUUUUUUCCUUCACAAUUAUUUUAAUUAAAAAUUAAAUAUAAUUAUGCUUUUAAUUAAAAUUGAUUUUUAAUGCACUUGUCGACGAAAACAUUAGGAGAACUAAGACUGAAGUUGAAUACUUGGUCUUUUGACUCCCUGUAAUAGAUUUAUUUGGCUUUACAUCUGUCUUGAGGUGAGAUACAUCGUCUAAAUUUUAGUUUUAUAUUAUCUAGUGAUAAUUUUAAUUUUAAUUUUUUCAGAGCAUUUUCAAAAAACUCUUUAAAUAUGAAAAACUCUCUAUUUUUUAGAAUCGACAUUUUAAAUCAUGCUCCAAGAGACUUACUCUCUAUAAUUAAAUGCACUCAAAGCAUUUCAAUUUUCAAUAUAGAAAAAUAAUAAAAUAAUCUAAAAAAAGCUAGUUAAGCCCUUGUUUGAGCUACAUUAUUUUCCUUAAAAUGUAUUUUUGAAUAGUGUAUUGAUGGAAAAUGUGUGACUAAAAAAUAAAGAAAAUUUUUGGAUUUACGUGCAAUGUUAUUUUAUUGAAGAAUGUGUUGUCGAAAUGAUGUCAAAUCACUGUUUAAAAAUGUAUUUUUUUGAAAAAAAUAUGGCUCAAACAUGGCCUAAAACAAAAAAUAGAGAAAAAUAAUAAAUAUUUUUUGAAGGUAUUAAAAUUAAAUGUUAAACAUAAAGAUAUUGUUGUAGUAUUCUAAAAUUUUAAUUCUCUAAAUUUAUAGAUGCUUUCCAAAUGAUAGAAUACGUUCUUCAAAAAUAGAGAAUCUCUUGAAAAUGCUAAAUCAAUUGGGUUUUGAAUUUGAAGGGUGAGCAGGUGGUGUCUCCAAGAGAUUUUAUUUUUAAAGAGUAUAUUUUACAAUUUAAAGAAAUAUAAGCUUAGAGAGUAAAAAUUUCUAUAUAUCACAAUAGUCUCUUUAUAUUUCAUACUUAAUUUUACUACUCUUUGUAUGUAUUUAUUAUUAUUAUUUGUUAUUUUCAUCAAUUUUCUCCAAAUUAAUAUAUCAUAUCAUCCAUUUUCUUUGUAUAUAUUGUUUAGUUGGUCAAUAUAUGAAGCAUUUAAGAUUGAAAUAUUUUGAAUGCAUUUAAUUAUAGAGAGUACGUUUUGCUCGUUUUCAUUUUAAAAUGUUAAGCAAGAAUGAUGAUUGAGUUUUUGGCAGUGAUUUAUAUUUGAUUAUUUUGAGCACAUUGUAUUGCAUGCAUUCUCGGAAAAUUUCACCUGAUGCAUAGCAAAUGGGCCAAAACUUUAGAUUUUUAAGAUAGACUUUUUUCGAAUGUAAUAAUUAAAAAACUUAUAGUGCGUUUGGUUUUUGUCUCUGUUUUCUAUUUUUAAUUUUAAAAUCGUUUUCUGUUUUGAAGGAUUAUUUUAAGGUUGCAAAGAAAGCAUUCGGUUAUUCAUUUUGAAAAAUAGUUUCUCAAAACAAAAAAUUAGAAAUCACGUUUGGUUUUAAAACUUUAGAAAUAAUUUUAUGACAUUUUAGAGGAGCAUAUAGAGGGGGAGAGAGAGAUAUUUGUAUUUGAGUAAGUUUUGUGCGAUUUUAUUAUUUAUUUUAAUUUGAAAAAUUUUAAGUUCAUUUUCCUUGUUUUGAGUUUUUUUGAGUGUUUUCAAUGAAAUUAUUCAAGACGUCAAAAAGUCAUUUUAAGUUUUGUGUUGUAAAAUUUUCCUUGUUUUUCAAAAAUGUAUUUUUGAAAAUAACAUAGCAAACACAUUUUGAAUGGUUUAGAAAAUUGAAAACUGAAAAUGGUCUCAACAUGACAAAUCAAGUGUACUCUUAUAAUUCUUAGUUAUGAAUAGAAAUAGUCAGAAAAAAUUUAUAUAAAAAUUGUUAUUGAAAGAAGAGUAAUGUUAUUUAGCACAUUAAUGUUAAAACAUCGAUUUAGAUGACAUCAAGUGAUAUUAAAUGAUAAUAUUAGUAGUAUUAGAUAGCAUAAUUCUUUAAAAAAAAAAAAAAAGGUCCAAAAUUAAACGUUAGUAGAUAAGGACGGAGUUAGACCGCGGUCUAGGGAUGUCAAUUGGGCUCGUUAUCUCGGACCACCCGUGGCUCGAUUCGAAAAAAGUCUGAGCCGCCUCUGGCCAAGCCCAAGCCCGAGCCCAAGCCUGCCCGUGUGGCUCGUCGGCUCGGGCUUGGGCCUUAUUAUUAAAAAAAAAAAAAAAUACUGAACAAAUGCAGUCGAGUGCCAUAUAAAAAAAAAAGGAAAAAAUCGAGCUGACCCGGCUCACUAAGGCCCGAGCCUUAUUUUUUUGACUGAACUUUUGCUCGACUCGGCUCGCGUUCGAAAAAAGCCCAUUUAAUUUUACUCAAACCGAGCCCAAGCUUUGAGUUUCAACUCACGAGCCGGUUUGGCUUGGCUUAUUGACAUUCCUAGACCGCACUAGCAUUUUUUUAUGCUAAGCUGAUACGUAAAAAGAAUAAAAAUUCCACAUAAAAUUUUACUUUUUCAUAAUUUCAUUUUAAUUUUUUUUAUGGUGCAAGGAAAAAAAUGUGAACUGGGCCCACACCAGUAGCCCUAAUUCUGCCUCUAUUAGUAACUUAGUAGUACAAUUUAAAAGUAAAAAUUUUAUCCUUAUGGCCCUAGUUACACCACAUAAAUACAUGAUUUUGAUUUUUCAUUCAAACAAAUAUAUUUUGACUCGUUCUACGGUCUUUUCUUCUCUAUUCUUGUUUACUCUUAGUUUUGUAACAUAUUGAAUUUUCUGGUAAUCUCUACUUUGUUAAAAGAGAGAAUCCAUCCUGCACUAUUCAUUUAAGAAGCUUUGGUGAAUUUUCCAUUUUACCCUCCAAUCCUAUAUACUAAUUCCAAAAUGAGGGCUUAAUGGUCUUUAUGUAUGGAUACAAAUAAUGGUUUUUAGACACAACAUAUCUCUAGGAAUGAGUACUGUGAUCACUGUGCUACAAAAACUUCUUUCAUACGAACUCUAUAUUUUUCUCUCGAUGGGACAAAAAAGGCGAAACAAAACCCUCGGCAAAUUCAAUCGAUGAUUAUAGCUCUGUGUUGGUAGUUGCCGAAAAAAAAAAUGUUGAGUUUUGUCUAAAAUAAAAUUUUCUUGUAGAACUCGAAUAUAAUUUGGGUUGUAUUAUUACGUUGCUAAGAGCGUUCCUUAAGAGUUCAAAUUAAAGUUUUGGUCAUGAUAGUAAAGUUUCGAGUACUUGUUUUUAAAAAUUUGCAAGGUGUCAAAAUUUCUCUUAAAUGACAAAUUUAUUUUUUAUAUGGAUUGGGUUACAUUAUUUUGACGACACAUUUUACAUUAUUUAGUGUUUAAAAUUUAGAUUAGAUAACCUAUUGCAUAGUGCCAUAACCACCCCCAACUUACCUUAUCAUUUAAACCCCAUUUUUGUUAGCUAAAANNNNNNNNNNNNNNNNNNNNNNNNNNNNNNNNNNNNNNNNNNNNNNNNNNNNNNNNNNNNNNNNNNNNNNNNNNNNNNNNNNNNNNNNNNNNNNNNNNNNNNNNNNNNNNNNNNNNNNNNNNNNNNNNNNNNNNNNNNNNNNNNNNNNNNNNNNNNNNNNNNNNNNNNNNNNNNNNNNNNNNNNNNNNNNNNNNNNNNNNNNNNNNNNNNNNNNNNNNNNNNNNNNNNNNNNNNNNNNNNNNNNNNNNNNNNNNNNNNNNNNNNNNNNNNNNNNNNNNNNNNNNNNNNNNNNNNNAUUUGAAUUUGGAGGUUAUACACAUUCAACUCUCAAAUCCAUUAUCCACAUUUAUACCCAUAAUAUCCAACUUACACCAUUUUAAAUUAUUCCUAGCCGUCACCUCUAUUUGAAAUUCAAAACAAUAACUUGCUACAACCCCUAAAGCAAUGUUUUUGCUCCCAAACUAUUUUGCCUAUGCAUAAAUUUAUUUUGCCUUUUUUCAUAGACUUAAGGUACAUUGAAUCUGAAAAGUUUCUAAAGGAGAGGAUUAGAGUAUGUAGCAUUUUAUUUUGGACACAAAAAGGGUAUUUAAACUCAAGUAUUCAAGGUAGGGUGUUUUCGGCACUUUUGUAAGUGAUGUAAGAAUUAUUUGUUUUUGUUUUGCAUUAAACGUUUUAUUGUGUUACUCAUGAUGAAAUUACCGUUUGGUGGUUCAAAUAAAAGAAAGAAAUUGAAAGUACACUAAUGACCAAAGUUUGAAUUCAUGUUAUUGUGUUGCUCAUGAAAGAAGCAACGUUUGGUGGUUCAAAUAAGAGAGAGAUUGACGAUGACACAAAUUACCAAAGUUUGCAUUUUUGAAAAUAUAUAUUUUUACCAUUUACUUAUGUAUUUUCCUAUUGAGUAUUACUUGUAGUACUCAUCCCUACUAAAAUAUUUCAUAUUAAUUAGAGGGAUUGUAGUGGUUUGGCAUAGGCAAGUGCUCGGUGAUUUGAAAAGCUUUCAACUUUUUAGUAAAAUUUUCAGUUUGUGCGAAUGUCUUAUGAAUACUUAGACGACACUUUUAAAAUGUUUACAUAUCUAUUCCGUCUAAUUAUAUAUACAUUAGAUGUCACUAUAAUUUAUGAAUGUUUUAUUUGUCUAUGCAUGAAGUUUAAGUAUGCUGCAUCAAAUUUCAGAUUCUGCUCUUCUACUCAAAAUCGCAUAAUUUGGGUUACAGUACAUGUUUUAGAGUCAAAUUAGUUGGGUUUGAAAGAUUUAUGAGUCCUCUAAUAGUGGUCUUUAGAAUUACCCAAAAAUUUUACCUAGAGAAAAAGUUAUGCGAGUUUUAGUAAACUGCAUCAGGUCAGAUCCGGAUUUUCUGGCCAUUAUAGUCGAACAAUAUUUUCGUGUUUCAAACAUUAUUUCCAAGACCCCAAUUUUUAAUAUGUUGUACAAAUAUGAAUGCUUUAGUCUCUGUUAAAAUUCCAUAAAUUUUAGUCGACGUUUGUUAGACUAAACAUUUUUUUUCCUCUCUGCUGCUGCACAAUUGAUACUUGCUGAUUUUUCCCCAAAUGUUUUUUAAAUCAAAUUUUCAUCAUAUUUGUUUAAGUCUAUAUGGAAAAAUACUUACACUAUUUUUAUAUAUUUCAAACUCCAAAAUUUUUCUCAUUUACAAUUUAUUUUGAUUAACAUCAAAGGGGUCAAACCAAAGAAAGAUUGAUUUUUAACGCUUCAGGUUUCGAGAGUUCAGGGCGUUACAGUGUCUUCAUCCUGUUGUGAUUUUGCAAUGGCUUUUGUACGUGUUGCUGUGAUUUGCUCAUUUGCAGUGGCAUUUGUACAUUUGCUGCAUAUUCUUGUAUUUAUAUCCUCAACUUGUGAAGUAUGUCGAUUUAAACUUUUCCUUCAGCUUAUGGUUCUUCUUUUCAAAAAAAUUUAGUGCAGAAAAACUGAGAAGGUUGAGAUAUAUUCCAUAGAACUUCAUUUUUGUGUCUCUUUCUUCCAGUUCCUUCAACCUUAUUGCUUUUUUAUUCGAUUUAUUAAGCAGGAAUUUCAAGACAUUUUUUCCCCUUCAACCUUAUUGCAUCAUUUCAACCCUUCCAAAGUAUUGUCAAGCAAGAAUUUCAAUAGUAGGGAUUACUAUUCCUGGGUCGAGUUUCUUGCGAUUCGGGUUCUCAGGUCGUGGAAUUUAAUAUUGUUGGUGAGGUGAUUCUUUUGCUAGAAUUUAUGAAUUUCUAUUUUAUGGGUUCCAAAUUAGAAGGUUUUGUUUGUCUAGGUAAAAAUGAGAGUGUUUUGGUGACAUAUUUUUAAGAUUAUUCUUAUUCAUGUUGGUGUUCAUAUAAGUCACUGUUAGUUUCUGGUUCAAAGUUUAUGGGCCUAUAGUAAUAAACGGUAGCGAUAUCGAUUGGAUGCAGUUGAUUUUGCUGUCCAAAAUCAGAGCGAAUGAAAUUUUGCCAAUUUGAACAACCAGCAUCCAUGUAAUCCUCACUUACAUAAAACAAUUUAAUAAAAGAUUUCACAGUAAUUUUUGCCCUAAAAGAUAUAUCAAAUAAAUCAUUUUGUAAGUAACAAGCUAUCAACAAAUGUCACUAUAAACACAAACUUAGGUUAUUUGUCAAGAUUUCAUCAACUUAGUUGAAUGAGAAUGUAUUGAGAAAUAGAUGCUUGGCCCUUGCAAGCAUGUUUGUGUUCAAGCUAGAAAUAGCCAUCGAAUAUGGAAAAAAACCCUCACUUUAUUAAUUUAAAUUGCAUGCAAGACAUAAAUGUGCAUUAUUUUGAUAGGUGACAUGUUCAAUAGGAUUUGGAACUCACUCUUACACCAGUGAACUAAGAAUUUGUAAAGUGCAGCAUAUUGUGGAAUUUAGGCUAAUGAAAGAUGGAUAGAUAAAUUGUUUUCACUGGUUAUAUGUUGGCCAUAUUUCUUUUUACGUGCGUAUAAAGUGUCACCCCCAAAUCCAUAGAUAUAGAAUCCUCUAAUAUCCCUUGUUGAACAUGAGUACUCAUUUUCUUCUACGGGUUUUUAAAUUCAUUCUGUAAAUCACUCAGGAUUUUUCUUUCUUAGUUUCACGUUGGCUUGACGAUAAUGAAUUGAAGUACUUGGUGAUUAGAAGUCGGUAAGAAAGCCCUCUUUCAUUCCUUCGAAUAGGCAGGUUUUUAUUUUGAUACGCUGAUAUCUUUUCACAUAGAUAAACACCUAUAGCACAAAGGGAAUAUAAAGAACAAAGAGAAAUUAUACCCACAACUAAAGGAAACUCCUGCACACACUUCUACAUACAUGAACAUUAUGGUUCUCCAACAUUUGUGUACAUUGGCAUAAAUAUAGAUGUUAGGAUAUUUAUAAUUUUCUACUUGCAUUCUUCUACUCUCUGUCAUUUGUCCACUUGCAUUCUUCUACUUUCUUCAAUAUCCUUCUACAAUCUACUUUUUAAUAGUCAGAAUUUUUCUACAUAUGUGUUCUUCUCAUCAAUGUCUGAAUAGUGUCUUCUUGUUUCUAUCAGGAUAUUUAUAAUUUUCUUGUGUUCGAAGUGUAAUUUAUGUUAUGUCCAUUAUUGGGUUUUUACAUUAAUAGGUCAAUUUGUCUUCAAAUAUUCCUUACAGCCAACUUUUUUAUUGGAAAAUUUAAUUCGAACAUUCAGAUGAUGUAACAGAUAUGCUAGUACUUUUCUUAAAUUCUUUUAGUCCCUGUUACUCACCUCGGGCUCCAGCUAUUCGAUAAGUUAUCAUAUUGUUCUCAUGGAUGUUUCGAAAAUGUGUGCAGAUGAAGAGACCAAUUCUCUUAAUUUUGAAACAAUUUUCCAUCGCAAACAACGAAAUAAAAGGCGAAGGGAUUGACAAGAUAAACUACAAAUUGGCCGCAGUGAUCAUCGCAAGAGGAUAAUUAAUACUAUGUCAUCUGGAAAUAAACUUCUAGUGUUGCACAAGUGCAACAUUCUGUAAUGCAUCAUGAUUAUGAGGCUUCUACUUCAAACCAAAAAAUGUCUAAUAUUUCCAAUUUUGAAUUACGAGGUAGUUUGACUCUACUAAACAUACCAAUGAGUGCAUUUGUAUUACCGACUUGCAUCUAUUGUAAACAUUGUGGUGCACGAAAAUUUUACGGAGAAAGUAAAGGCUUCUAUUGCUCUAAUGGAAAAGUUCAGCUUUGUAUGCCUGAUUCACCAAUUGAAUUGUAGAACUUGUUUGCUUCUAAAGAACUUAACUCUAUGGAAUUCAAAAAAAAUUGCAAGGGGAUAUAAUAACCAUUUUGCUUGCACUUCAUUUGGUGUAAAGUACAACAAUGAUAUUUUUAAAGCAUACAAAGGUAUUUAUACAUUUAGGGUCCAACAACAAGUAUAUCAUUAUGUAAAUGAACAUAUGCCACAGAACAAUCAACAAUACGCCUUCUUAUAUGCAGUUAUACUUUUAUGACAUAGAGAAUGAACUUCAAAAUCGUAUGAGAAUUUCAGAAAACUUUUUUGAAUCUACUUUGAUUGUUUUAAUUGAAAUCCUGAAAGUAAAUCCAUAUAAUAGAUUCCUUAGGUCUUUAAGUGAUAUGACUAACUUGCAUAAUCAUCGAAUACAUAUAAGAUGCGAUCCAGGACUUGAUCAAAGAGUCUUCAAUACUCCUACAGUAUCUCAAGUAGCUGUUGUAUGGGUCAAAGAUGAUAAAAAUGCCAAUGUUCAUGUUCGUGACAUUACUAUAUAUUGUCAUUCUGGUGAUUCACAUUGAGUUCAUUAUUACUAUGGUUGUUAUGAUCAUUUAUAGUAUUUUUUACUUUUUCCAUAUGGGGAAUCUGGUUGGCAUGAAGGCAUUCAAAGAUGUAGAAGCAUGUACUUUGAGCCUGAACGUUUGCUUGAAUUCGUUGAAUUUCUAAGCAAAGUUACAUCUGCAGCUGAAUUUAUCGAAAAAGAAAAUUAAGGUUUGCAAAUAUACCUUCUUGUACAUUUUUCUAACUUUUACAAUGUUGAUAAUUUAAAUGAAUACUCAAUUUCGUAUUCCUUUUCAUCUUGCAAUGCUUAACGAAACGAAGAAAUGGUCUCACGUUUCUUGCCGAGGAUAUUAUUCAUACAAAUUGAAAUUAGGCCUUUCGAUAAGUCUGUUUUAUUUCACACUGUAGAUUGUUUCAACAAUACGUUAUAGAUAUGUAUGUUAAGAUUAAAAUUGCCCGGUUAGACUAUUUUUGCAACAACCAAAAGCAGAUUCGUGCUGAACUUUACCAAGGUAUUAUAGACAACGUUGAAAAUGGAGAAACAAAGGGUUACAAAAUUGGAUGAAAUUUUGUUUUGCCACAAUCAUUUACAUGUGGACCUAGAAAUAUGCUAAGGAGAUACAUUGAUGCAAUGUAAAUUGUACAACGUUAUGGAAACUCGGAUAUAUUCUUGACUAUGACAUGUAAUCCAAAUUGGCAAGAGAUUAAGCAAAAAUUAAAACACAAUGAUGAGAUCUCGACUGGAUCUAAUUGUACGUUAUUUAGAGCAAAAUUAGAAGAAUUGAAAAAUGAUUUAUUCAAGGAAAAUACCUUAGGCCAUGUUGUUGCACACAUAUAUGUGAUUGAAUUUUUAAAAAGAGGGCUCUCUCAUGCACAUCUAUCGUUGAUUUUUAACUAUGGGCACAAAAUUUCUUCUGCUACACAUGUUGAUAAAAUAGUAUCUUGCAAAAUUCCCGAUGAAAACAAAUACCCCUAUCUUUAUUCUGUUAUUGCCAAACAUAAUAUGCAUGGCCCUUGUGGAGACCUUAAUCCAAAAAUGUAUGCAUGGAAGCAAAUAAAUGUUGCAAAAAUUAAUACCCUAGGGAUUAUUGUAAUACUACUAUCUUUGGUGAUAACUCAUAUUCAUUGUAUAAACGUCGUGAUAAUGGUAUUUCUAUUAAAGCUAGAGAUCAAAUGUUAGACAAUUGAUGGGUUGUACAGUACAAUUCUUAUUUAAGUGCAAAAUUUGUCUGUCAUAUUAAUGUUGAGAUAUGUUCUUCUAUUAAAGCUAUAAAAUAUUUAUACAAAUAUAUGUAUAAAGGCCAUGAUCGUAUUAAUUUUUUUGGUUGGCACAAAUGAAAGAGAGAAAGAAAUCGAUGAAAUCUCUGCUUAUCAAUUUGUUAGAUGAAUAUCUCCACCUGAAGCUAUGUGGAGGAUUUUUUUUGUUCAAUUUGGCAGAGAUUUAUCCAACUAUUUAUUCUUUACAGCUUCAUAUUGAAAAUCAUCAUCAAAUAAGAUAUGACAAUCAAAAUGAUUUAUCUACUGUUAUUGAGAACGAAAAUAUGAGAAUGACAAUGUUAAUAGAAUUUUCGAAUGAAUGAAGCAAAUGAACUUGCAUGUACACUGUUAUAUCGAGAUUUCCCAACAAAUUUUGUUUGAAGUUCAACUAAAAAGAUUUGGACUCCUAGAAAGAAAAAAUUUGUUAUAGAACGAAUUGUCACAGCAAAUCCAUCUGAAGGAGGCGAUAUUUCCUCUAUGUUCUUCCCAAUCAUAUUCAAGGUCCAACAUCAUUCCAAGAUUUACACACUUUAAACAGGAAAACUGUUAGAACAUACAGAGAAGCUGUAAUUUUACAUGGUUUGUUAAGCGGAGACAAUCAUUAUGAAUAAUGUUUAUCUGAAACUAUUAUUUAUGAAAUGUCUAUUUCUUUAAAACGUCUUUUUGCUACAGUUCUUAUGCUUUGCAACCCUGAUCAUCCAAAGUCGUUGAGGGAUAAAUUCAAGGAUUAUAUGACUGAUGAUUACAUACAUGAGGAUAUGCCUCUAGAAGUUGCUGAACUACAAGUCUCAGAAGACAUCAGUUCUGUUUUAGAAUCAUUUGGUAAAAAUAUAAAUGACUAUGAAAUGGUGUCAUUCAGUGAAGGUAUAGAUGAGAAUGAAAGGUUGAGAAGAAUGAUUGUAGAGGAGACAACAAUUUUGGAUAUUGAAGGAGGUCACGCUUGUGCAGCAAGCUUGAAUAAUGAACUACAAUUUGCAUAUGAUUCAAUCAUGGGAAAAGUAAAUUCAAAAUCAAGUGGGGUCUUCUUCAUAGAUGGUCCUAGAGGAAUAGGCAAGACCUUUUUAUAUAAAGCUUUCCUAAUUGGUGUGAGGUCCCAAAAUUUAAUUGCUUUGGCAACUAUAUCUUCUGGAGUUUUUGCAUCUCUUUUACCUGGAGGUCGAAUGGCGAAGUUAGCUGCUUUUUUAGCAAGCAAUCAGCUUUGGUAACUUUGUUGAAAACUAAUACAUUGGGAUGAAGCACCUAUGGUGAAUCGUUGUGCUGUAGAAGCUGUAGAUAGAAUGCUCAAAGAUAUUACUAGUUGUAACUUGUCUUUUCGUGAAAAAGUAGUAGUUCUUGGGAGAGAUUUUCAACAAGUUCUACCGGUAGUGCCGAGAGGGAAAAAAAGACAUAAUAAAGGCUACUUUGGUCUUCUCUAACCUAUGACCUUUGUAUUCACAUCUACUGUUGGUUGAAAACAUGAGGGCAAGUUAGAUCCAACAUUCUCUGCUUACUUGCUUAGAAUUGGAAAUGGAACGGAGCAAGAACAUACUUGUAGCUGCAUUAUACUUCCAAACAGAAUAAUUGUUCUCAACAGCUUCGAACGUAUCAAACAUCUCUUUAUCAGAGCACAAAUGCCUUGUAGCACCGAUGUCAAUCCACCACUCUUUAGGGUUUGAACCCACCAUGUUUACUUCAGAAAUGACUGCUGCGAGAUUCAGCUCCGACACAUUUUGUGCCAUGUAGUCAAUCACGUUCGCUUCUUUCUUGUUAUUCGGUAAUCUACACUCCGAAGACUUGUGACCCACUUUGUCACAAUUAAAGCAUUUCCCUUGGAAUUUCUUCUUGACAAUUCCACCUUUCGGUCCUUGCUUGGUUCUUUUGCCACCGGAUGGCCCAGACUUGUUUUUGUAGUUCUUACUACUUUGACCAAACUCCACAACAUUGACUUUAGCCACAUCAUGAUUGAACCAUUUCUUCUCGGAACUCUUGUUGUCUUCUUCGAUUCGAAGUCUAACAAUGAGUUCUUCGACGUUCAUUUCCUUUCGUUUGUGUUUCAAAUAGUUCUUGAAAUCUUUUCACACGGAGGACAAUUUUUCUAUAAUUGCAGCCACCUGAAAAGUUUCACUCAACAUCAUUCCUUCGGCAUGAAUUUCGUGAAGGAUCACUUGGAGUUCUUGCACUUGACUGAUAACAGUUUUGGAGUCUACCAUCUAUAGUCUAGGAAUUUGCCGACUAUAAACUUUUUAGCCCCGACAUCCUCAGUUUUGUAUUUCCGGUCCAAGGACUCCCACAAUUCCUUAGCAGUUUUUAUGGUGCUAUACACAUUGUACAGCGCAUCUGCUAGGCUGUUCAUGAUAUAAUUUCGGUACAGAAAGUCCGAAUGCUUCCAAGCAUCAAGUGCACUCAAUGCUUGCACAUCUCCCUCGCCUUUAUUAAGCUUUGGAGCAGUUUCAGUUAAGAAUCUUGCAAGAUUCAAGGUGAUCAAGUAAAAAAGCAUUUUCUGCUGCCACCUUUUGAAAUUCAAGCCAUUGAAUUUCUUCGAUUUUUUUCCAUGAUUAACUGGAACAGUUAUAGUUUGGCUAGUUUGGCUCACAAUAUGACUUGACAUUCUAGCCAUAGUCUGAGCUACAACGGAGCUUGGCCCUUGAGCCACAUUAGAACCCACAGCCUGAUUUACAGCGGGAACAUUUUGGGUCACAUCUAUGUUGUUUGAUUCGGUUUCCAUUUCUGAAAACAAACCAAAUAUUAGUUCCAAGAAACUACAAUUCAAUGAAACAAAAAAAAAACUACUCUAGUUUUUGAAAAACAAAUAUUAGUUCCAAGUAACUAAAAUUCAAUUAAUCAAAAAACCAACUCUUGUUUUCCGAAUUUAGAAACAAUCUUAAGCUUGUAGGAAAACAAGUCGCUAAUGGAUGAAACCGAUUGUAUAAGUUUUAUUCAAAUGCAAUAGCCGACUAUUGAAAUUAAUAACCACAAGGGAAACGAUUUCAAUUUAUCAAAAAAAUUCCGUUUCAGAAUUUUCCAACGGCUGGAAAAAAAUGUUUAGCAACAUAAAAUCAGAAAUAUAAGUUAACUGCAGGCUAAAACUGUAAACGAUGAAUUAAAUAGUAAUGGGAAAAUAAUAUGCAGAAAUAAAUGGAAACUGAUGCAAAAAUAAUCUGCAGAAAUAAAUUGAAACUGAAUCUGCAAAGAAACUACACGAAUUGCAACGAAAUAAAUCUGCAGAAAGAAAACACAAACUGCAGCAAAUUUCAAACCGAGGUCUGUGCGUACACAGUUUCCUUAAGACAGUUUCGCCCUCUCACCGCAGGUGCUAGAAGUUCAGUUUGAGCAGCAGAAAAGAAGAAACUGUAUAUACAGGAAUGUAGUUGAGAUUUUUGAAUGUGUUAGAUUGUUGGAGAAUGAGCCUUUUUCUAGGCAUAUUGCCCAUUAAUACCAUUGGAAGUCUAUUGGAGUUUUUUCAGUUUAGAAACUCAAAAGUCAUUGAAGAAGACCAAAAAAAAUUGGCAAAACGUGGGCUCUCUGAUGAGGCCAUUUUUGCUUUGUUCGGUCCGACAUUCGUGUGUGCAGGUCGCGCCCGCAUCCAAGUUCAAGGUCCGAAUGCCAUUUUGGUUCGUGAUUUGCACCCCCUGCGCGCGCACGUGAAGAGAGCCUCUAUGCUACACAUGAUUACACAUCUUCAAAGCAUAGCUAUAUAUAAAGUGGUUUGAGUUUUUUUGAUUUUCCUAUGUGGAAUAAAUACAUUUUUUCCCACAAAACCAACUUUCAAUGACCAACUUUGAGUUCUAAUUUCUCAUUCACCCAAGUUUCAUUUUUGGCAAAUAAAUACAUGAAAUCGAUGUUCUCGCGGAGGAGAACACAUAUCAACUUUGAUAUUCCACAUUUGACCAACGGGUCCCAUCGAAAAUUGUGUCAAAAGUAAGCUGCUCACUCAAUUUUUUCCAACACAGUUAACAGAAUCAAUCCAACUCCACCACACGACCUUCAAACACUUACUCUUGGAACGAAGAUGAAAAUGAAAAUUAUAUGCAGAGUAAUACCAGGAAAAUGAACAAGAUGAAAUACUAAUUUCUUCAAAAUUUUCCUCCAGAACCAUGAACCGUAUGUGUCUGAGCCUGCAUAAACGGUACAUGAGUAAUUCACGUGGAGAAAUAAGUGUGGUAAAAUUCAAGAAAGAACGAACCAUGCCCUUCUGGCCUUUCAUAUCUUACCUGAAACUUUAUAGUUUAUUUAUAGAAUCAAUAAAACGAGUGUGCAAGUCCACAAUACGUUAAAAUGAAUAGGGAUUAUAUCAGGAUAUGAAAGCACAAAAUUCAAUAUUUAUUUCAUGAGCUAGAACAACCAAAGAUAAGAAUUUGGGUGUGCCCAUAGAAAAAUAGCAGAAACUUACUGUGGUUUGAUGAAGAAUGGGUCGUUGUAAAGGAAAUCUUGAAAGAGCUGAGGAGAGAUGAGUAGCCAUCUCUCUCUGUUUCUAUCUAUACAUCAGUAUAUUUAUCUCCUUGUAAUAAAAAAUUUCAAACUUAAAAAUAAAAAAUAUGUAUAAACUAAUAAACGUGGCAAAUGAGUGUUGUGUCCCAAACCGACGUGC